rnacentral:rRNA from 1 species
UGAGGAAUAUUGCGCAAUGGGCGAAAGCCUGACGCAGCGACGCCGCGUGGAGGAUGAAGGUUUUCGGAUUGUAAACUCCUGUUAAGUAGGAAGAAACGACAAAAUAUAAUACAUUUUGUAACUGACGGUACCAUUAAAGAAAGCACCGGCUAACUUCGUGCCAGCAGCCGCGGUAAUACGAAGGGUGCAAGCGUUAUUCGGAAUUAUUGGGCGUAAAGGGUGCGUAGGCGGCGUAUUAAGUCAACUGUUAAAACCUCCAGCCUAACUGGAGAUCAGCAGUAGAUACUGGUAUGCUAGAGGAUGGAAGAGAGAAGUGGAAUUCUUGGAGUAGCGGUGGAAUGCGUAGAUCUCAAGAGGAACACCAAUGGCGAAGGCAGCUUCUUGGUCCAUAUCUGACGCUGAUGCACGAAAGCGUGGGGAGCAAAACAGGAUUAGAUACCCUGGUAGUCCACGCCCUAAAACGAUGUCAACUAGUUGUUGGGGAUUCAUUUCCUUAGUAACGUAGCUAACGCGUGAAGUUGGACCGCCUGGGGAGUAACGGUCGCAAGAUUAAAACUUAAAUGAUUUGACGGGGGUCAUAGCUG